rnacentral:ncRNA from 1 species
UAACACUUCGCUCUGAUGCAAGAUUAAUUAUUACUGACAAACUUCAUAUGGUAACUCACGCGCUUUGCGAACCGUAUCCCUGCGUAGUAAACUGUUAAACACAAAACCCUACACGUCGAACACUAGGCUACCUAAAUUAACCUAAGGCAUCCGCCCGCAACACCAAUGAACUAUAUUGUAAUUUAAGUUAGGAAACUAAGCCACAAGCACAGUAAAAUAUGGGUGACCCAAAAGUGGUGCCAGCAGCCGCGGUUAGACCACAACUCAAAAUUAAUCCACACAAAAAAGGAGCACCCUAAUCAUCCUAGACUCCAAUCUUAUUGGCAAAGGUGAAAUUUAAACCCAAACAAGUACACCUAGACAAGUCACCCAAACCCGUGCUCCAACAAACCACCCUACAAGACAUGGAUUAGAUACCCAUUUAUUGCGUGGCCCCACAUAAAAACUCUAAAAACGAAAGUUCCAAACUUAAAGAGCGUGGCGGUAUUCUACACCUUAUUAGGGGAUCCUGUGGCUUAAUUCGAUAACCCACGAACACUCAAGCUUUGUUAGCACCCAGCUUAUGUAUGGCCGUUUUAAGUCUGCAUACCAAUAGUAGAAAAGGAGACACACAAGCAAAAUCUUAAUAACACAGGUGACAUAUAGCCAACACAAAGCAGCCCAUGGGAUACAAAUGUAUACAAACAUCCGAUAAAGGUUGAAAACUCUUUACAAAGGAGGACUUAAAAGUAAGGUUAAAACAAUACUACAACCUGAACAAGAACUAGAAUGCGCACAAAUCGCCCGUCACUCCUGGUAAUUAAACUAGGACAAGUCGUAACACAGUAGAGGUAACGGAAGUUGCCCCUAUACAA